rnacentral:rRNA from 1 species
GACGAACGCUGGCGGCGUGCCUAAUACAUGCAAGUUGAGCGCUGAAGGUUGGUACUUGUCCCAACUGGAUGAGCAGCGAACGGGUGAGUAACGCGUGGGGAAUCUGCCUUUGAGCGGGGGACAACAUUUGGAAACGAAUGCUAAUACCGCAUAAAAACUUUAAACACAAGUUUUAAGUUUGAAAGAUGCAAUUGCAUCACUCAAAGAUGAUCCCGCGUUGUAUUAGCUAGUUGGUGAGGUAAAGGCUCACCAAGGCGAUGAUACAUAGCCGACCUGAGAGGGUGAUCGGCCACAUUGGGACUGAGACACGGCCCAAACUCCUACGGGAGGCAGCAGUAGGGAAUCUUUGGCAAUGGACGAAAGUCUGACCGAGCAACGCCGCGUGAGUGAAGAAGGUUUUCGGAUCGUAAAACUCUGUUGGUAGGGAAGAACGUUGGUGAGAGUGGAAAGCUCAUCAAGUGACGGUAACUACCCAGAAAGGGACGGCUAACUACGUG